GAUAUUAUGCAUAAAAGCUCAUUUCAAAUAUUCAGAAUUACUCAAACAUGUGCACACUCAUAGCAUCAAAUUUUUGUUUUAUCAAAAGAGAUAUAUCACGGCAUAUCAAUAAGUGAAACCUUUAUUUAACAUUGAUUUCAUAUAUCUUAUCAUCUAUUUCUUUUAUCAUAGUUUCAGAUUUGAUAAUUUUUUUUCGGCUUUGGAC
rnacentral:lncRNA from 1 species